AAAGGAAAAAAAAAAGGAAAAAUCGGCUGCACUGUCCGCCAUUUUUGUCUCUCGCUUUGGAAAAUCUACUACCAUCUGGAGUUUUACACUUGAAGAUAAAUGCAGAGUUUAAGUGCAUUACCACCAUGCCACUGCAGUCCAGAUUACUCUCGCAGAUAGAUGUGCUAUCUGAAAAACUAAUAAAGGUCUUCAAAAGGUGAGGAGGACAAAUAGGAAGAAGACUUCAGAACAUUCUGGAGCCCACGGCCCAGGCCACAGAUGAAGCCAUUAUCCAACGAUCUAAUAAGGAAACAACCAUGGGAAUUUACAUCAUAAAGACAAGAGAUGCCAAUGGCAGCCCUGAGGACAUCGGGAUAGUCCUUGAAGGCCAGAGAGUCUGGCAGGAUUUGGAUAACUAUACCCUAGCAGCUGCAAUGCUGUUUGGACUAAUGUACACUUUGAACCUCACCUACCCACUGGAAAAGUAUACCUUCGAGGUAUUAUAGAAACUGGUUAUGGAGCUCAAAAGGAACAGCCUUUCAAAGAAGGCCCAGGUUUUCAGGACCAGACUGUACGAUUGAACAGUUUUCCAGUUAUGAUGUGGGAACAACAUGUUUACCUCUUCGAAUAUGUACCAUCCUUUCUUUUAAGCCAGCACUGGUAAAGUUGCAGUACAUAGUGAAACUUAUUUUUCUGGCACUUUUCAACUGG